rnacentral:lncRNA from 10 species
CUCUGCAAGCCCAGACCAAACCCUGAGCUUCCCUCUGGCUUUCUCUUUGGUUAAACAAGAAGCCUUUAUCUUCAUCUCUCCAUCAGAACCAGUGGCCUGCUCCUCUCUCCCUUCUCUGCUUUCAUUGUCCACCAACACUGAAGUCAUAAAUGACUAGAGGGAGCUGGAGUGUGAGGGUCCAGAAACUUGUAUGAUCCAGAAUGCCAUGUCAUACAUCCAAUAAAAUUCAACUCUGCAAGCAUGAGAGAGAAGAGGAAGGAAAAGAGAGAAUCUGAAGUGUGCUGUGCUGGAGAGAGCAUGUGGAGAGACACCACAGAGAGUGAUGUCCAAGGAUCCUCUGCUGUUCUAGCCUCCAGAUGUUUGGUACCAAAUGGAGAGUGAGUGAGGCUUCCAACCCCACCUUUGAG